UCAACCCAUUUAACCUUCUAACCCAUCCAAUUAAAUUAGUUCAUGGGUUGACUCAACUCAUUUGGCUAAAUGAGUUGAGUCAACCCAUGAACUCAUUAACUCUAAACUCAUUGGGUAAUGAGU
rnacentral:pre_miRNA from 1 species